CCUACGGGUGGCAGCAGUGAGGAAUAUUGGUCAAUGGGCGCGAGCCUGAACCAGCCAAGUAGCGUGAAGGAUGACUGCCCUACGGAUUGUAAACUUCGGUUAUAAAGGAAUAAAGUGAGGCACGUGUGCCUUUUUGUAUGUACGUUAUGAAUAAGGAUCGGCUAACUCCGUGCCAGCAGCCGCGGUAAUACGGAGGAUCCGAGCGUUAUCCGGAUUGAUUGGGUUUAAAGGGAGCGUAGAGGGGUUGUUAAGUCCGUUGUGAAAGUUUGCGGCUCAACCGUAAAAUUGCAAUUGUUACUGGCAGCCUUGCGUACAGUUGCGGUCGGCGGACUUCGUGGUGUAGCGG
rnacentral:rRNA from 1 species